rnacentral:misc_RNA from 1 species
UUUCCGUAGGUGAACCUGCGGAAGGAUCAUUACCGAGUUCAUGCCCUUCGGGGUAGAUCUCCCACCCUUUGUAUACUAUACCUUUGUUGCUUUGGCGGGCCGCCUAGCUACUGGCUUCGGCUGGUAAGUGCCCGCCAGAGGACCCAAAACCCUGAAUAUUAGUGUCGUCUGAGUAAAAAGUUUAAUAUUUAAAACUUUCAACAACGGAUCUCUUGGCUCUG